GCGCCCGUAGCUCAGCAGGAUAGAGCAGCGGUUUCCUAAACCGCAGGUCGCCCGUUCGAGUCGGGCCGGGCGCACCA
rnacentral:tRNA from 1 species